rnacentral:rRNA from 1 species
CCUACGGGGUGCAGCAGUGGGGAAUAUUGGACAAUGGGCGAAAGCCUGAUCCAGCCAUGCCGCGUGUGUGAAGAAGGCCUUCGGGUUGUAAAGCACUUUCAGUGGGGAAGAAAGCCUUGGGGCUAAUACCCUCGAGGAAGGACAUCACCCACAGAAGAAGCACCGGCUAACUCCGUGCCAGCAGCCGCGGUAAUACGGAGGGUGCGAGCGUUAAUCGGAAUUACUGGGCGUAAAGCGCGCGUAGGCGGUCUGAUAAGCCGGUUGUGAAAGCCCCGGGCUCAACCUGGGAACGGCAUCCGGAAAUGUGAGGCAAGAGGGACGAGGAGGAGGGAAGAGUGCCUGGUGCGGAGGUGAAAUGCGUAGCGAACAGGGGGAAUAAGAGGGGCGAGGACGGAUUUAAGGCAUGACAAUCACGUUGGGUUGCCAACACGUAUGUACAACACAGGUUGCAUGAACAUAGAAGCG